rnacentral:rRNA from 1 species
CCCUUAGAUGUUCUGGGCCGCACGCGCGCCACACUGACUACUUCAACGAGUUGUUUCCUUGAUCGAAAGGUCUGGGUAAUCUUUGAAAGGUAGUCGUGAUGGGGAUAGAUCCUUGCAAUUUUUGAUCUUCAACGAGGAAUUCCUAGUAAACGCAAGUCAUCAGCUUGCAUUGAUUACGUCCCUGCCCUUUGUACACACCGCCCGUCGCACCUACCGAUUGAAUGGUCCGGUGAAUCUUUAGGACUGUGGCUGAGGCCUUGCCUUGUGCGGGUCUGGCCGUGGGAAUUUAGUUAAACCUUACCAUUUAGAGGAAGGUGAAGUCGUAACA